rnacentral:sRNA from 2 species
AGAGGAAAAAGGGAACGACGGGUGUUCACAAGUUCGGUGGGGGAACGGAGGAGAUUUUGGGAACAAUUGAUGAUAUGCCUGUAUCUGCGUAAUUCAUUCAUAUGCUUCAGACUGCUGCUGCAGGACUUCCACUUUUGUAAUAUAUGACGAGUUUCUUCUCAGGCAAGGCGGGGUUUGGUUAUGUUUACGUUUAAUGAUUCUUCCAUAAUGUAUGUAUUUAAUCAAGCAAUUUCUUCUCGUUGAAGAAGGGAAAGGAUCUAUUAAUAGGUCAAUGUAUUGAACUAUUAGCUGCAUGUGGUGUACUGGGUUUAUGUACAGAGUAGUUACAUCAUAUGAAGCACACUGACACCCC